rnacentral:rRNA from 1 species
AUUGAACGCUGGCGGCAUGCUUUACACAUGCAAGUCGGACGAGUGGCGAACGGGUGAGUAACAUAUCGGAACGUACCGAGUAAUGGGGGAUAACUAAUCGAAAGCUUAGCUAAUACCGCAUAUUAUUCGAGCGGCCGAUAUCUGAUUAGCUGGGUGGUGGGGUAAAGGCCUACCAAGGCGACGAUCAGUAGCGGGUCUGAGAGGAUGAUACUCCCCACUGGGACUGAGACACGGCCCAGACUCCAUCCUUACCACUACCUUUUCAAUAUUGGACAAUGUGCGCAAGCCUGAUCCAGCCAUGCCGCGUGUCUGAAGAACUCCUUCGGGUUAUAAAGGACUUUUGUCAGGGAAGCGGUACCUGAAGAAUAAGCACCGGCUAACUACGUGCCAGCAGCCGCGGUAAUUC